rnacentral:rRNA from 1 species
UGGGGAAUUUUGGACAAUGGGCGAAAGCCUGAUCCAGCAAUGCCGCGUGUGUGAAGAAGGCCUUCGGGUUGUAAAGCACUUUUGUCCGGAAAGAAAUCCUUGGCUCUAAUACAGUCGGGGGAUGACGGUACCGGAAGAAUAAGCACCGGCUAACUACGUGCCAGCAGCCGCGGUAAUACGUAGGGUGCAAGCGUUAAUCGGAAUUACUGGGCGUAAAGCGUGCGCAGGCGGUUUGCUAAGACCGAUGUGAAAUCCCCGGGCUCAACCUGGGAACUGCAUUGGUGACUGGCAGGCUAGAGUAUGGCAGAGGGGGGUAGAAUUCCACGUGUAGCAGUGAAAUGCGUAGAGAUGUGGAGGAAUACCGAUGGCGAAGGCAGCCCCCUGGGCCAAUACUGACGCUCAUGCACGAAAGCGUGGGGAGCAAACAGGAUUAGAUACCCUGGUAGUCCACGCCCUAAAACGAUGUCAACUAGUUGUUGGGGAAUUCAUUUCCUUAGUAACGUAGCUAACGCGUGAAGUUGACCGCCUGGGGGAGUACGGUCGC